rnacentral:lncRNA from 1 species
AAAGUAAAAAAUUUAGGCCCUUGGGCCCAAACCAAAGAAACCUGUCCUAGUUUAAAUGGGCUUUUGGCCCGUUUAGCCUGUCCUAAUCUAGUUUUUGAGUCUUUGACUCGAGUCUCACUCAGCCUGUAUUAAAUAUAACUUUGACUUCGAGGCCCAAAUGAACGAAUAAAUAAAUAAACAAAUAAAAUAAAAUAAAGACUACAAUAAGUAAAUAAAUAAAAUAACAAAUGAGACUUUUGAGACUCUGAGCUACUUUGCCAAUGGGUUCCAACCCAUUUUCUUUUUCUUCUAUCUUCUUGUAUCCCUGUGCUACGAGGUUGGCAUUGAAUUUACUCCUUCGAGACUGACUCGGGAUUAAAUGGGUCUCAAUGGGCAUGCAAAGGAAAAGGGGAGUCCAAGUAGGACCCGAGCGUAUCCAUAUGCGAAAGAAAAAGAAAAAUAAACUAGUUAAUACAUGUUCAAAGAUCAGUACUUGAAGACCAAUAGUGCCAUUAAAGAGCAUUUUCGCACACAAGGAUAAUUGUAAACCAUGAUAUGAAGCGGUGCAAUUUAUCUAAUGAAAAGAUGAUUAACCUAUCCCUUGAACAAGUUCAAGAAUUGAAUCGAAUGCAACUUGAUAAAUUAAUCCAAACAAGUUCAAUAAUUUAGAUCGAAUGUAAUAUGAUUAACCAAUUUUUGUAGAGAGGCAUAGGAUGUCUAAAACAGUAAGGGAAUCUACACCUUAUGGCAAAAAGUAUGCGUGUUUACAAGAUUAGCUCACAAAUGAAUCAUCAAAAUGGUAUGCAUUUACGAAAACUGGUCAUAUUUGAUGUGUACAUACUAUUCUGCCACAUGAGAAUUCUAAAAGUAUUUGUAAACAAGUUCAAGAAUUUGUAUGAUUCACUUUCCAGAGAGCACGAUGCACAUACACAAAAUUUAAAUCAUUGAAAAUUACUACACCACAACAUAUCAAUAGGGGAACCUUUUCUAUAAUAUAGGUCAUAAACCCAUCAAACUGUACUCACACAGUAAAGAAAAAUGUAGUGAAAACAUUUCAAGAUUCAACAUAACACUUGGUUCAUCCUCGUCUUCUCUCGAUAAGUCUUUAAGACUUUGGGUCGAUACGUGUCAUUGAAUGGUCACGGGAUGAUUGAGAAUCAAUAUGACAUAUCACUUAUAUUUUCCUAGCAUUUUUUGUCAAUAAAGCCUAAAAAAAAGUUUCUAACUGACCGCGAAAAUCAAAAGGCAAACAGGAGACCAAGCAUGGAAAAGGAAAAACACCAACAACAUCAAACUAAGGCCAUAGAUGUGAAAUAAAACAAGUAAUAUUCAACUAAAUCACUAGCAAGUCAGACCACAAUAUUCUAGUGUAGCCAUGACAUACUAGAAACUAAGACAUUUUCUACGCUGCAGCGUUUUUGCAAAUAGGAUUAUACAUAGAUUAAGAUAUUUAGGCAUUAGACUCAAGGUCAAAACGAUGAGGAAUAAGUCAAAGAGACUGCCUUCAACAUUCAUUAAAUAAUCUGAGGCUUAGACUUUCACCACAGAUAUUGUUAAAUCAUGAUAACGAACUAGACAAGACAAGGUCCGGAUUCAGCGAUAUGUAUAUACGCUACUUUAUAAUAUAAAAAUGAUGGCUAAUCAACACAAUCUACACGAAAUAAGAAGCUUAAAGUCCGCCAAAUUGAAAACUACGACGUAACACUGAUUCAGCGAAAUAGCAUAACCACAACGAUCACAAAAAAGUCCUAAGGCCAUCAACGGUUUCUACAACAACAAAUCCCAGCCUCAUUCAUGAUUACGAUUAGGCAACCAAAUGAUUCUACGCGGAAAAGGGAUGAAGGAGAAAUUGAUGAAAUUAAAAAGGGCGAGGGCGUGUUUACCUCCUCUGGGGUAGCAAAAUGGGAUAACGAGCUAACAUCAAGAUGCGCCACCACCGGAUAUGUGCGUUAUCAAUUCAGGAAUAGGAACCUCCGAUUAGUCGACCAAAUUUCAAAAAGAUGAACGAAAGAAAGAAUUUUUUUACUGAACGAAACUGUUUUCUCUCCAAAUUUUCUUCCCCUUUUUUCUUGACCUAGCCUUCUCAGAAAGUUUUCCCAAACCCCCAAAUUUUCAAACCCCCUUCCUCCUGGUUCUGUCUUCCUUUUAUAGGGAAAACUUAGGCUCCCCCUUGAUUGCUCAAUCGAUGUGGGAAAAAUAAAGUUAGGGAUUGCCCAUUGAGAUAUUUUGUAAAUUUAAAUUGAAAAAUCCUCCCACAGCUUGGGUUUCAACAACAAUUAGUACCAAUUUUUGGAUUUCUUGAGAGAAAAUGCAAUGGGUGGACCAAUAUAAUUUGGGAAAAACAAAUUGUACCCCUAAACCAAUGAAAAUCAACCAACUAUGUACGAAAUCAUACAAAUCAAUCCAAAAAACUCACGAUUCAAACAUUGGAGGGGGCCAAUGCAUUAAUUUCAUUAGCUUCUAGACCCUUAUCGUACGGAUUCCUGUGGGACGCGUGAAGAAGACUAAAAACGGGUUGGUUUGGGUUGAAAACGAGUUGGUCAUGGCUAUUUUCGGCUGGUCAGUUUUCGAUUGCAGUUGUUGGUGGAAACAGAUUAUGCUGUUAUAUGCGACAUUGUUACUAUUUGUUUUGUGUUGUACGUUAGUUGAUGGAGGAGAGAGGGUAGGGGAUUGGGCUAGACCAGGUCAUUGUUGAUUUUAAAAAGGAUGUGGGCUUUUGUUGCUUAUUUUGUUAAUGCAGAAAAGAAAAAUGAAUGAGCCUGGGCAGGUUUUUGGCUGGUGGGCUACCAAUUAUUGUUAAAUUGGGGUAAUAAUUAGGUUUUAAUUGGGGUUAUUGAAUAACCCUAAUUAAAUUUAAUUGGAUUAGAAUAGCCAUAACUAAAUUUAAUUGGAUUAAAA